GGGUCCGUAGCUCAGCUUGGCUAGAGCAUCUGGCUCUUAACCAGAGGGUCAUGGGUUCAAAUCCCAUCGGAUCCG
rnacentral:tRNA from 1 species